CGGAAUCACUGGGCUUAAAGCGUGUGUAGGCGGAUCGUUAAGUGUCUUGCGAAAUCCCACGGCUCACCCGUGGAACUGCUGGGCAUACUGGCGAUCUUGGGCCAACUAGGGGCAGCCGGAACAAGCGGUGGAGCGGUGAAAUGCGUAGAUAUCGCUUGGAACGCCGAAGGUGAAAACAGGCUGCUGGGGUUGCGCCGACGCUGAGACACGAAAGCCAGGGGAGCAAACGGG
rnacentral:rRNA from 1 species